rnacentral:rRNA from 1 species
UACGGGUGGGGUAAGCGUUGUUCGGAAUUACUGGGCGGAAAGGGCUCGUAGGCGGCCAACUAAGUCGGACGUGAAAUCCCUCAGCUUAACUGGGGAACUGCGUCCGAUACUGGAUGGCUUGGAUUUGGGAGAGGGAUGCGGAAUUCCAGGUGUAGCGGUGAAAUGCGCAGAUAUCAGGAGGAACACCGGUGGCGAAGGCGGAUCUCUGGGCCAUUACUGACGCUGAGGAGCGAAAGCGUGGGGAGCGAACAGG